GACAGCAGUCGCCACGGUAAUACGUAUGUCACAAGCGUUAUCCGGAUUUAUUGGGCGUAAAGCGCGUCUAGGUGGUUAUGUAAGUCUGAUGUGAAAAUGCAGAGCUCAACUCUGUAUUGCGUUGGAAACUGUGUAACUAGAGUACUGGAGAGGUAAGCGGAACUACAAGUGUAGAGGUGAAAUUCGUAGAUAUUUGUAGGAAUGCCGAUGGGGAAGCCAGCUUACUGGACAGAUACUGACGCUGAAGCGCGAAAGCGUGGGUAGCAAACAGGAUUAGAGACCCCCGUAGUCCCUGUCUCUUAUACA
rnacentral:rRNA from 1 species